CAUUAUGUUUCUGAAAGGUACCCUGACCAUUGUCUUUGCUGGAUUUUGGCUACUGUGCAUGCUUUGUCUGAAGACAGAUGCUUAUGUCCCACUGAGCCAUGGCUGCUGCAUCAAGUACAUUCGCAGACCACUGGAUUUCAAACUGAUCAAAGGUUUUGCACAGUCGAGUUUUGGUAACGUGCGCUGCGUUGAUGUGAUCAUAUUCAUUACAAAGCGCAACAAGAAGGUGUGUGCAAACACUAAGGAGGUGUGGGUGAAGAAUGUUCUAAAACGUCUAAGGGCACGCUUCCAGGCCAGACAAAGGCUAUAAAAGCUAGUUCAAGUGAGCAGAGAAGCAUCUAUAAAAGCACAGCAUGUCUAAUCUUGAUGUGGAUGAGCUACAAGACAGCAGGCAACACAGUGAAAUCUAUACUUCACAUAUCCCAUCUUUGGAAAUUGGGUCAGAGCACAGCAUCAGCCAUUAUACAGCACUCCUGGAGCAAUGAGAGUUAAGGGCCCUGCUCAGGGGCCCAACAGCUUAGGAGUGCUGUUGCUCUAACCCCAAUCUGCCAAUCAACAACCCAACAACCUUUAACCACCACUACCCCAAAGGAUUGUUUCAACAUGCAACAGGUUUGAUUUGUGCCCAGGAUCACAACAUAAAGGAAAAGAACCAACAUCAGAAUUGUAAUUUGAACCCAUGCCUCCAAAGGAGACUGCUACCUGAACACAGCACCUAAGACUGCUCGGCCAACCUGACACAUAAGUUUUUAAAAGGUCCAAAUAGUAAAGUGAGUAGUUUGCUCACAAAAAUAUUUGACAGAUCUAUUUAUUUUAUUUGUAUUCACAGCCACCCCUUCUACCAGACUCUUAACCUCAGUCACUGGCAGAAUGAAUGAGAACAUAUGAACUACCACUGCCAGACUCUGUAACAGCUUUUUCCCUAAGAUUGUUAUGCUUAGUAACUGAACUAAAAUAAAUGAAACAAUAUCUAAUCAGCUUGGCAGGUCCUCUGUUAAAGUGUAGGAUUCUAUAUAGUAGCACAGAACAAGCUAUGAAAACCCAAGUAUAUCAAAAAUCCUACUGUUUUCUGUCUUA